AGCGAACGCUGGCGGCAGGCCUAACACAUGCAAGUCGAACGAACCUUUCGGGGUUAGUGGCGGACGGGUGAGUAACACGUGGGAACGUGCCUUUAGGUUCGGAAUAACUCAGGGAAACUUGUGCUAAUACCGAAUGUGCCCUUCGGGGGAAAGAUUAAUCGCCUUUAGAGCGGCCCGCGUCUGAUUAGCUAGUUGGUUGAGGUAAUGGCUCACCAAGGCGACGAUCAGUAGCUGGUCUGUGAGGAUGAUCAGCCACAUUGGGACUGAGACACGGCCCAAACUCCUACGGGAGGCAGCAGUGGGGAAUCUUGCGCAAUGGGCGAAAGCCUGACGCAGCCAUGCCGCGUGAAUGAUGAAGGUCUUAGGAUUGUAAAAUUCUUUCGCCGGGGACGAUAAUGACGGUACCCGGAGAAGAAGCCCCGGCUAACUUCGUG
rnacentral:rRNA from 1 species